ensembl:lncRNA
AGGUGCACGCACCCACACUCAAACACACACACAAAACCUCAGCUCCUAAAAACUUUAUACAUCUAGUCCAAUUCCUUGCAUAAACAGUGCUGACGAAACCCUUCUUUUCUUAGGAGUGAGCCUCAGGUCCUUGCAAUCAGAAGAAACUGCCAAAUACUUAAGACAGUUCUGUUAGGAAAACACACACAACACUAGGAUACAGACAGAGCCAACUGUCAAAGCCUGGAUGUGCCAAAGUGAAUGUGAAGCAUCAAGAAAGCCACUGGAAGUUAUUGAAAGAUUGAAAUGGAAUAAGUGGAAUUUCAUUGCUUCCAGUUUUCAAAGAUUUUACAUCUUAGGAGAUUACAGUUUGAUGUUUCCCUGUCCUGGGUCAGAGAUCCAGAGAAUCAACCAGAUUCCAAGCCUUCUAGGGUUGAAUGAGAUGGAAGGACAACCCUGGGGCAACAUGGUAAAUGAGCAUCCUGUCCCAGAGCAGAGAAGAGAGGGAGCACAUCAUGGCGCUCUAAGAUGGUAAGCCUCUUUGAUUAAGACUCGUAUCAUGCAAAUACUCAAUUAAAAGAAAGUUUCUUCCAACCUUAUUUUGUGUCUCACAUUCAUGCCCCUUGAUGUCGAAAGAAAGAAAGAGAAAGGGAGUGGGGAAGGAAUUCCUGUUUUUAGAAAAAAAUAGAAUAACCUAGGAAAGGCAGCUAGUUAUCUAGUGAAAUAUCACAGAUGGGUUUUUUUUUUUUAAUAAAUUUUGUUGGAGCAUAGUUGACUUAGAAAGU